rnacentral:misc_RNA from 1 species
GAUGAAGAACGCAGCGAAAUGCGAUAAGUAAUGUGAAUUGCAGAAUUCAGUGAAUCAUCGAAUCUUUGAACGCACAUUGCGCCCGCUAGUAUUCUUGCGGGCAUGCCUGUCCGAGCGUCAUUUCAACCCUCAAGCCCCCGGGCUUGGUGUUGGGGAUCGGCGAGCCUCCGCGCCCGCCGUCCCCUAAAUCUAGUGGCGGUCUCGCUGUAGCUUCCUCUGCGUAGUAGCACACCUCGCACUGGGAAACAGCGCGGCCACGCCGUUAAACCCCCAACUUCUGAACGUUUGACCUCGGAUCAGGUAGGAAUACCCGCUGAACUUAAGCAUAUCAAUAAGCGGAGGA